AAAAAAAAAAAAAAGACGAAGAAACGGAGACUUCAGGAUCUCCACGUGUCCCUGAUCACAGUGGGUCCCGGACCGGUUCAGCAGAGACCCGGAGAGAGAGAGAGACAGGCGACCAGAGCUGAAAAUGUUUCAGGAGACGCCACAUGAGGGGGACCAGCCCACCCAGUCUACGUCCCAGGCCACCCAGUCCCCAUCCCAGGCCCAGUCCACCCAGUCCACCCAGUCCCCGUCCCAGGCCCAGUCCACCCAGUCCACCCAGUCCCCGUCCCAGGCCCAGUCCACCCAGUCCAGGUCCCAGCAGGGCUCAAGCUCCUCCAGCGGGCCGACCUCGGCCAGCCAGUCGUCCAGCGGCUCAGGGACGCUGAGCAGUGUGGACACGCUCCCUGUCACACUGCCAUCCGUCCCUGAGGAGCCCGAACCCCAACCCUGGGGCCGCCUGCUGCCCAUGGCCCGCGGGUUCAGGAGCCUCGACUGUGUGGAGGACCAGUACCUGUUUGGGCGGGGCUCUAGGUGUAACUAUGUUCUGGACGAUCCGGAUGAAAAAGGAUCAACAAAGUUCAGAAUCUACAGCAAAAAACACUUCAGGAUCUACAGAGAGGGCAGUGAGGUGUUUGUGGAGGACUUCAGUAACAACGGGACGUUUGUUGAUGGGGUUCUGAUCGGUCAGCAGAAGAAGCUUCCUCUGAUCAAUAACGCCGUGCUGGCUCUGGCUGAACAGAGGAACAAAGUGUUUGUCUUCAUUGAUCUGAUCUCUGACGAUCAGUCCAGUUUACCCAAACAGCUCCAGGAGAAAUACGUGCUGACUCGACGCAUCGGCACAGGUGUGUGUGGGGAGGUGCGUCUGGCCUUUGAACGUUCUUCCUGCAGGAAGGUCGCUGUGAAAGUAAUCCACAAGAAGAACUUUCAGUCUGAAGGGACGGCGACGCGGAACGCCGAGACAGAGAUCGAGAUCCUGCAGCGUGUCGACCAUCCUUGUCUCAUAAAGACGGAGGACUUCUAUCAGACGGAGGACAGUUAUUACAUCGUGUUGGAGCUGAUGGAGGGGGGGGAGCUGUUCCACAGGGUCAAGUCUCAGCAGCAGCUCAAAGAAUCUGUGGCCAAACUUUAUUUCUACCAGAUGCUGAAAGCUGUCCAGUACCUCCACAGUAUCGGGAUCAUCCACAGAGACCUGAAACCAGAAAACAUUCUGCUGUCCUCACAGGAAGACACCUGUCUCAUCAAGGUGACGGACUUCAACCAGUCCAGGAUCCUGGAGGAGGCGUCCCUGAUGAGGACUCUGUGUGGGACUCCGUCCUAUCUGGCUCCUGAAGUCUUCACCCAGGCCUCCACCACAGGCUAUGGCCUGGCCGUGGACGCUUGGAGCCUCGGAGUCCUGCUCUUCGUCUGUCUGGGGGGUUAUCCUCCGUUCCAUGACGGUUUCGGUCGUCAGUCAAUCAGGGAGCAAAUCAUCAAAGGAGAGUUCACCAUGGUGACGUCCAAGUGGAGACACGUGUCCGACCAAGCGAAGGACAUGGUGAGGAAGCUGCUGGUUGUUGAUCCCAGUAAGAGGAUGACUAUAGAGGAGGCUCUGCAGCACACCUGGCUACAGGUAACUACACCUGGUGACUACAGGUAACUACACCUGGUGACUACAGGUAACUACACCUGGUGACUACAGGUAACUACACCUGGCUACAGGUAACUACACCUGGUGACUACAGGUAACUACACUUGGCUACAGGUAACUACACUAGGUAACUACACCUGGCUACAGGUAACUACACCUGGUGACUACAGGUAACUACACCUGGUGACUACAGGUAAUUACACCUGGUGACUACAGGUAAAUGAUGUGAUGGUGAUGUCAUCAGUCAGGUGUGUGUGUGUGUGUGUGUGUAUAGGACCAGGUGACGGUGCAGACGGCUCACCGGUUGAUGUUUCCUGAUGGUGCUCCUCCUCCCGAUGUUGCUGUUGCUACGGGGGCGGAGUCAGCCUCUGGAGCUGGCGGGAGGAAACGGAGGAGAGAAGAAGAGGAGGAGGCGGGACA